UAGAUCCUUAGCCUUUCAGACUCUCUUUCUUAUUCUAAUAUAGGAUUAUGUUUUAGCAAUCCAUGAAGAAAUUCUGGUUUGUGUUUCAACAAUAUGUGGAGAACCCUCCUCACAAGGGUCUUCAUUGUAGGAAUAUCAAAUUCCUUAUUCUUUGUGAUAAGGUUCUCAAAUUUUCAUAUAUUAGAAUUCAAUAGUCACAUUAGACUUCAAAUUCAAAAGUUUAUAU
rnacentral:lncRNA from 1 species